rnacentral:rRNA from 1 species
GACGAAGGAUGCAAGCGUUAUCCGGAUUCAUUGGGUUUAAAGGGAGCGUAGGUGGCCUUAUAAGUCAGUGGUGAAAUCUCUGGGCUUAACCCAGAAAUUGCCAUUGAUACUGUAGGGCUUGAGUAUAGUUGCCGUUGGCGGAAUAUGACAUGUAGUGGUGAAAUACAUAGAGAUGUCAUAGAACACCGAUUGCGAAGGCAGCUGACGAAACUAUAACUGACACUGAGGCUCGAAAAGUGCGGGGGAUCAAACAGG